rnacentral:tRNA from 1 species
UAUGAAUUGCCUGAUAAAAGGGUUACCUUGAUAGGGUAAAUCAUGUAAUAAUAACAUUACAUUCAUUAU